rnacentral:rRNA from 1 species
CCUACGGGUGGCAGCAGUGGGGAAUAUUGGGCAAUGGGGGCAAGCCUGACGCAGCGACGCCGCGUGAAGGAAGAAGGCUUUCGGGUUGUAAACUUCUUUUCUCAGGGACGAAGAAAGUGACGGUACCUGAGGGAUAAGUCACGGCUAACUACGUGCCAGCAGCCGCGGUAAUACGUAGGGGGCAAGCGUUAUCCGGAUUUAUUGGGUGGAAAGGGCGUGGAGGCGGGAGCGCAAGUCGGAUGUGAAAACUCAGGGCUCAACCCGGAGCCUGCAUUCGAAACUGUUUUCCUUGAGUGCUGGAGAGGCAAUCGGAAUUCCGAGUGUAGCGGUGAAAUGCGUAGAUAUAAGGAGGAACACCAGUGGCGAAGGCGAAUUUCUGGACAGUAACUGACGCUGAGGCGCGAAAGCGUGGGGAGCAAACAGGAUUAGAUACCCGUGUAGUC